rnacentral:rRNA from 1 species
UCUCGGUUGAUCCUGCCGGACCCGACUGCUAUCAGAGUGGGACUAAGCCAUGCGAGUCAACGCAGCAAUGCGUGGCAUACGGCUCAGUAACACGUAGUCAACAUGCCCAGGGGACGUGGAUAACCUCGGGAAACUGAGGAUAAACCGCGAUAGGCCAAGGUUUCUGGAAUGGACACUGGCUGAAACCUACAUGGCCCCUGGAUUGGACUGCGGCCGAUCAGGCUGUUGGUGAGGUAAUGGCCCACCAAACCUGUAACCGGUACGGGCUUUGAGAGAAGGAGCCCGGAGAUGGGCACUGAGACAAGGGCCCAGGCCCUAUGGGGCGCAGCAGGCGCGAAACCUCUGCAAUAGGCGAAAGCUUGACAGGGUUACUCUGAGUGAUGCCCGCUAAGGGCAUCUUUUGGCACCUCUAAAAAUGGUGCAGAAUAAGGGGUGGGCAAGUCUGGUGUCAGCCGCCGCGGUAAUACCAGCACCCCGAGUGGUCGGGACGAUUAUUGGGCCUAAAGCAUCCGUAGCUUGUUCUGCAAGUCCUCCGUUAAAUCCACCUGCUCAACAGAUGGGCUGCGGGGGAUACUACAGGGCUAGGAGGCGGGAGAGGCAAACGGUACUCAGUGGGUAGGGGUAAAAUCCUCUGAUCCACUGAAGACCACCAGUGGCGAAGGCGGUUUGCCAGAACGCGCUCGACGGUGAGGGAUGAAAGCUGGGGGAGCAAACCGGAUUAGAUACCCGGGUAGUCCCAGCUGUAAACGAUGCAGACUCGGUGAUGGGUUGGCUUUGAGCCAACCCAGUGCCGCAGGGAAGCCGUUAAGUCUGCCGCCUGGGGAGUACGGUCGCAAGACUGAAACUUAAAGAAAUUGGCGGGGGAGCA